UGCAGAUGAUGUGAACGGAUAUUUGCUAUCGGAAAUAACGGUGAUGACAUCCGAACCACCAAGAUCGCUGAUGCG